AACCCAUUUUGAGGAUAUUUUGACAGAAGCUCCUUGAACCUUUCCCAUGUCUUAAAUAGAGACUCCAUUUCCAUUUGCACAAAAGGAUGAGAUCUCAUUCCUAAGCUU